rnacentral:rRNA from 1 species
UCCAGAGGUCCCGAGCGUUGUUCGGAUUCACUGGGCGGAAAGGGUGCGUAGGUGGUUAGGUAAGUCCGAUGUGAAAUCUCCAGGCUCAACCUGGAAAUGGCAUUGGAUACUAUUUAGCUUGAGGAGUGGAGGGGGGACUGGAAUUCUCGGUGUAGCAGUGAAAUGCGUAGAUAUCGAGAGGAACACCAGUGGCGAAGGCGAGUCCCUGGACACUUCCUGACACUGAGGCACGAAAGCUAGGGGAGCAAACAGG